ensembl:snRNA U5 U5 spliceosomal RNA
UCACUCAGGUUUCUCUUCAGAUCGUCUAAAUCUUAGUGCCUCUGAUUAAAGAUUUCAAAAGUCCAACUAUAGGUUAGUUUGUUUAAAAACAUUUGAUGCUCUGACGGGACAAUGGGGCUUUCUAUCAAUGUUAGUAUCAAAGAAAAUGUCUGGAUCGUAUAAAUCUUUCAGCCUUUUACUAAAGAUUUCCGUGGAGAGGAGCAAAUGAGUUUCAACCAAUUUUUGAUGUUCUGCCGUACA